AGGUGGGCUUUCAGAGGAGAAGAUGUUGUUCCGAUGAUUUUUCUGGAUUUACUUCCAUGUGGUAGCGGAGAGGAAGGCAGAACUGAUUUGGGACCUUCCUGAUAGGGUGCAGCAACUCUCCCACUUCAGAGCAGACCAGCACUCGGUUCUGGCCUCCAGAGUCUCCCCUGUGCCAACAGAGGUCCUUGGGCGGGCAGCCAUAUCCAGCAGCCAUGGAAGGAGCCAUCAGGAGCAGAACAUGGGCCAGCAAAGGAUGGUGCACAGUGGGCUGGUGUUCUUAGCCAAAAUGGUGCUUAUAUCUCAAAACUCUAGUGUUUCCACUGGAGAGGGUUGGAGCAGAGGAAGAGAGCUUCAAAUGUGAGAACACAUUCCAGCUGCAGGAUCAGAGGACUUUUCCUACAGCCCAUAAGUGCCUGCAGCUCUAUCGGAUUUGCAAAUCUACAAAAGAGAGCACAUCCUAUUGUUCCCGGUUUUGAGUUUUUUUAAUAGUAUGUCUUGUAAAAUGCUGGUUGCUGGUGGACAGGGGUGUUUUACAGAUAGGUGUGACUCAGGAGGGGAAAUGGGUGGGCAGAGACAGCCACAAGGAAUUCCACACAUGAAGGAAAUGCUCCCACUUGUGUUUUCUAUUUGUGUUUUAAAUUUGGGGAGCGACUCACAGGCACUCAGCAAAAGUAACUAAUUAUAUUAACCUUAUCAGUAGUGAGGUUUCCUGGUCUCUCAUCAGACACUCAGCUCACUGGCUGGUAUUUAAUUGGGAGCCUGGUGGCCAGUGAAAACAGUGUGGGAUGAGUCACACUUUAACAAGUUUUUAUAGUACAGCAACCUUGCUGUAUAAUAGCCAGACAUUAUUAAAAUUCAGAUAUGGUACACUGACUUGUUUGUUUUCCUUAUUCACAUGAAACAGAUGCUCAGGACUCAUUUUACUUACACACAGUAAAUGAGGGUCAGCUGUGUUGAGGGAAGUGAGUACUUUGUUCUGGAAGGAUAGAUGUUGUAGCAAUUGUCUUGCUCUGAUUGUAUUUGAAAAGAAUGAAUGUUGUUAGUACAAUUUGGUAUUCUUCCAAUGCCUAGUUGGAGUUCAAGGGAUAUAAAACUGGGCGCUUGAGGAGUGGGAUGGAAAAGGAUGGAGAAGGAAGGUCAAAUAUGGCUUUGAAGGGGAUCAGCAGAAGCCAGAGGCCGCAGUGGUGAACACUCCUUGUGAAUGGCCCUUUGCACCCACGGCUUGGUGAACCCAGCAUGGACCGUGGAGAGAGGACCUGCCUAAAAACCAGAGACGGGGUUUGCCUCUCCGCAUCACCACUGGCUUGCUGCAUCAAGAAUCUGCCUUUCAGCUUCUUCACCUGAAACAAGGUGAUUGGGAUAGCUGGUUUUAUUUAUUUAUUUUUGAGGCCAUUCUAGCACUUUGUAAAGUCCAAGGGGGUGUGGUAUUGUAAUUCUUGGAAUAAUACAAUGAACAUCAGAUGCUUUGAAGUUUUCCGUUCGGUGGAUUCUGGGAUUCUUUUCUGAAUGAGUGAUUACUAGCCAACAGGAAUCUCAUGGUUCAACCUCAAACUCAAAAGUUAUUUCGGGGAUGGAAAAUGGUAAGAUUGGGGAAAAUCCUUCCACCUUCACCCCUGUGAAUUAGGAGUCUUGUUAAUUAGUAUACAUGAUUAAAUAUUGAGAUUUAUAGGCAUCAACUUGUGUGACCUGUGACAGUUGGGUAUCAAAACA
rnacentral:lncRNA from 1 species